rnacentral:rRNA from 1 species
GACGAACGCUGGCGGCGUGCCUAAUACAUGCAAGUAGGACGCAGUUGCGAACGGGUGAGUAACGCGUAGGUAACUGACUAUUAGAGGGGGAUAACUAUUGGAAACGAUAGCUAAUACCGCAUACUAGUAGAUGGAUCUGGGUUGUAUUAGCUAGUAGGGAGGGUAAUGGCCUACCUAGGCGACGAUACAUAGCCGACCUGCGAGGGUGAUCCGCCAAACUGGGACUUGGGAACGGCCCAGACUCCUACGGGAGGCAGCAGUAGGGAAACUUCGGCAAUGGGGGGAACCCUGAACUAGCAACGCCGCGUGAGUGAAGAAGGUUUUCGGAUCGUAAAGCUCUGUUGUUAAGGAAGCGGUACUUAACCAGAAAGGGACGGCUAACUACGUGCCAGCAGCCGCGGUAAUUC